rnacentral:lncRNA from 1 species
UUCAGCUCAGUCUAUCUGGUUGGUUACAUUGAGGAGGAAAGAAUUUCAACCACUCUACUGCAAUGGCUCUGAAGUAGUUCCCAACUGAUUACACUAGAACCUGGGGUUUGGUUCCCUACUGAGUAGAGUACUUUUACUAAGUACACUAGGGACUGGGGUUUGGUUCCCUACUGAGUACUCUUCUACUAAGUACACUAGGGGCUGGGUUUGGUUCCCUACUGAGUACUAUUCUACCCAGUGCACUAGGGGCUGGGGGUUGGUUCCCUACUGAGUACUCUUGACCCAGUGCACUAGGGGGCUGGGGGUUGGUCCCUACUGAGUACUUUCUACCCCAGGCACUAGGGCUGGGGUUGGUUCCCUACUGAGUACUCUUCUACUCAGUGCACUCGGGGCUGGGGGUUGGUUCCCUACUGAGUACUCUUCUACCCCAGUGCACUAGGGCUGGGGGUUGGUUCCCUACUGAGUACUCUUCUCCAGUGCACUAGGGUCUG